GCUUAACUUCCCUUAACUUUUCCCAUUCAUUCUCUAUGGUAGUGCUUAACACUACGGAUGCAAUCUACUUUUGGCCACACGUAGACUUCCCGGCGCUGUUUCGCUUUUCCGUGGCGGGGAAUUUAAAAAGCGAAGCGUCAUCUGUCAACCCGUUUUAUUACCGGAGAGAUAUUUGUUUACCGACUUGUCAGCAAACUUGUUUCGUUUUGUCUAAACUACCUGCAGACAGACUUUAACUCAGUAAUGGAGGAGGAAGAAGAACUGGAAAGUUUUUCUCCAACAAAAUAUCUCACACAGCUGAGCUCAUCUGCAGCCACAGGAUCCACAGUCUUAUUUACAACAGGUUACUUUACACAUCCAUUUUUGAGGCUUAUUCAAUUACAUACUUAUCCUCCAUGUUCUUUUGUUCUAACUACUGUUAAGGUUUGAAUAUACCAGUGGUGAAGGUGGGUGCACUUCAUGAAUUGUAUGCAUGCUAAACUGUUAUUUGUUGUGAAAAAAUUGACUAUUUACUUACAAGCAUUUGAACAUUAUCAGAAUGUGCAUUACUAGAACAAAUAACAGAAUAAAUAGAAUAAAAGAAUAAAUAAUGAUUAGUCAUUUAAUGUAGUCAAGACAAUCAAAUACAUAUGUACAUUCAGUUUUUAAUUUCCUCCCUGUGCUUUUCCUUGCAGCUCCUCCAACAACAUCGGCUUUGCACCAUCUCACGCAGCACAAUCAGCCUCUACACCUGCACCAAUGCUGUCUGCACUCACUGAAACCCCUGUUCCCAGCUACUUGAACACAAAAGUAAAGACGUGCAUUACACACGUGUAUUAAAUGUGUUAUUCACGCAUAUACAAUAUUAUACAUAUUAAUGCACUUUUAAUAUAUAUAUACAGUGGUGUG